AUGCCCAGGUUUGACUUCAGGGUAUCAUUUCUUAAAGAAUUUGGAUCUGCAAAGAAACCAAGCAUGAUUGGUUUUUCAGUUAAUGAGAGGCAUGAAUGCAAACCAGAGAUAAAGAAAGGUGAUUUCUCUCUCCUGGACACUAGGCAUGUCUGGUGCCAGGUCAGCUCGCGCCUCCUGGCUCUGGUGUGGAGCAGCAGCGGAGAAAAAGGAGCCGCGCUGGAGGCUGCACAACAACUAGACCUCUUUCUUCCACAUUUUCUCUCAUUUCUCCCUACCUCUCGUGGCCGGACCGUGGUCGUGCUGGGCGGAGGCAUCAGCGGCUUGGCUGCCAGUUACCACCUGAGCCGGCCCCUUACCCCCCUAAGGUGGUCCUGGUGGAGGGCAGCGAGCGUCUGGGAAGCUGGAUUCGCUCAGUCCGAGGGCGCAAUGGUGCUAUUUUUGAACUUGGACCUUGGGGAAUUAGGCCCGAGGGAGCCUUGGGAGCCCAAACUUUGCUCAAGGUGGCGUCUCUAGCCAUGGACAGUCUCUGCUGUGGAGUGUUUGCAGGCAACAGCCGUGAGCUCAGCAUCAGGUCUUGCCUUCCCAGUCUCUUUCAAGCUGAGCAAACCCAUCGUUCCAUAUUACUGGGGAUGCUGCUGGGAGCAGGGCAGAGCCCACAGCUGGACUCAGCACUCAUUCGCCAGGCCCAGGCUGAGCGCCGGAGCCAGUGGUCCCUCCGUGGAGGUCUGGAGAUGUUACCCCAGGCCCUUGAAACCCACCUGACUAGUAGGGGGAUCAGUGUUCUCAAAGGCCAUCCAGUCUCUGGGCUCAGCCUCUAGGCAGCAGGGCGCUGGAGGUGUCUCUAGGGGACAGCAGUCUGGAGGCUGACCACGUUAUUAGUGCCAUUCCAGCUUCAGUGCUCAGCAAGCUGCUCCCUGCUGAGGCUGCUCCUCUGGCUGUGCCGAGUGCCAUCACUGCUGUGUCUGUAGCUGUGGUGAAUCUGCAGUACCGAGGAGCUCGUCUGCCUGUCCAGGUAAUGACGUGGGUUCCUGGUUACAGACACUGGAGGCCAGUGGAUGUGUCUUAUCUCAGGAGCUGUUCCAACACCAGGCACAGAAAGCAGCUGCCACACAAUUAGGACUGACGGAGCCACCAAGUUACUGCUUGGUCCAUCCACACAAGAACUGCAUCCCCCAGUAUACACUAGGUCACUGGCAAAAACUGGAGUCAGCUAGGCAGUUCCUGGCUGCUCAAAGGUUGCCUCUAACUCUGGCUGGAGCCUCCCAUGAGGGGGUUGCUGUUAAUGAUUGUAUAGAGAGUGGGCGACAGGCAGCAGUCAGUGCCCUUCACAGAUGAUCUCCAACUCUCAAACAUGAAAAUAAAAAUUGCUGGAGCUUGAAAAAAA